AUUGAACGCUGGCGGCAGGCCUAACACAUGCAAGUCGAGCGGAGCGGCGGACGGGUGAGUAAUGCCUAGGAAUCUGCCUGGUAGUGGGGGAUAACGUUCGGAAACGGGCGCUAAUCCCGCAUACUAUCAGAUGAGCCUAGGUCGGAUUAGCUAGUUGGUGGGGUAAAGGCCUACCAAGGCGACGAUCCGUAACUGGUCUGAGAGGAGGAUCAGUCACACUGGAACUGAGACACGUUCCAGACUCCUACGGGAGGCAGCAGUGGGGAAUAUUGGACAAUGGGCGAAAGCCGUAUCCAGCCAUGCCGCGUGUGUGAAGAAGGCCUUCGGGUUGUAAAGCACUUUCAGCGGGGAGGCGUUACCCGCAGAAGAAGCACCGGCUAACUCCGUGCCAGCAGCCGCGGUAAUUC
rnacentral:rRNA from 1 species